rnacentral:tRNA from 1 species
GCCCGCUUGGCGGAAUUGGUAGACGCAACGGACUUAAAAUCCGUUUCGCUUCGGCGAGUGCCGGUUCGAGUCCGGCAGCGGGCACCA